ACAUGCCGGAGGGCACAUUCCAGGCAGAAGACAACAUUUUCAUUCUCCUGUACGACCUAACAAAAAUACAGAUAGAAAACAUUAAUAUGAUUCAAAUCACAGUCACAUCUCACACACGUGGUAUACCCAAAAUAGGGUUUUUUUCUGGGGUGGCGAGCAGGAGGAGAGAGGGAGACUAGAAGAACUUGUGCUAAGUGACUGGAGUAGGUGGGAUAGCUGAAUUAAUACAAGGACAAAGUCUGUGCUGACUUUCUUCUCUUCCCCUCCCAACUAAGUAUUUAUUUGAGUAUUUAGCCAUCAUCGUGGACAAAUACCAGGUCUGUAAGAAGACGAGGAGGUUAAUGAAUCUCCCUGGUUCCAGGGAAAGAAUACAAGUCCGAGUGAUUUGCUGCAUCCACUGCUGAGAAAAAAAAUGUUCACAGGUGCACCUGCUGCCAAACCACCUUGAGAUAUGAGCUCAUCAUAACCCAAGGCCUGCUCAGCGUUUGAAUGAGACCCCUCCACUUCAACUGCCCUGCUCACCCAGUGCCCCAUUUCAGCAUUAACAGAUACUGGUCCGUGGCAGGUGCCAGUCUUUGAGAUGAAGCAUAACAGAAGACCUGGCCAUCUGAGGGGUUUAGCUACACUAGAGCCCUUCUCCCAAGAGGGGGCUGCCAUGAAAUUCUUUACAAAUUCCAGUGUGUGUUUACAUUGAAGCUACUUAAAUUCCCCUUGCAGUUCCAACAGGAUACAGCAAUGUUCACGUCCUAUCUUAAACCCUAGGAUACUAAUGCUUUGUGGUGUUAAACUACAGAUGUAUUCUGCCCUGGGGCGGCAGAGGUAUUGCUGAAUACAGGAUAUUGUUGCAAGUUUCUAUGGAAUCUCUCUGGAUGAAAGGUGCCACAGAAUUUUAAGAUACUGUUAGGAGCUGAGCUGCCUUGACAAGGCUCUGAGGGCAGCACAGCCCUUCGUUACUAUAUUGCAUGCCAGAGGCAGAAGGAUAAGCAAGAGAUUAAUAUGAAGGAUGGGAUGAGCUAAAGAUGAAGGAAAAAGUACCUACUGCAUUUUGCAUACUACUAGCAGUCUAAAUAAUAUACAUAAGAAAAAACCAGCAGUAAUAAUGAACAGACAAGCUAUAUACUGUCUACAAGCUUAGCUGCUUAUACUGUUCUUAUUGUAGAGCAGAUCCUUUCAGGAUAAGAUCGUACUACAGGAAUAACACAGGCCUAGAGAGGCGAACAGUUGCAGAGUCUGUUAAAUGAAGUCUAUUACUUGCUGGCGCACCUUCUCAUGAAUGAGCUAGUCAUCAAAAUAUGGGAAACUUGGACUACCUGUCUCCUGAGCACUGCGUUCUAGAUUCUAUAAAUACGGAAGCAAUAUCUCAAUCAUUCAUCACUCUGAGGCAAAACGUUGACACAGAUGUACAAGUAAUAACUAAAAGGGACAUUACAAGGAGAAAUGGGGAAAACUGAGACACAGAGCGGUUAAGUGACUUGUGCAAACUCACACAGGAAGACUUUCGCAGAGACAAGAACAGAACUCCAAUCCCCUGACUCCCAUGCUGGUGCUUCAACCACAAAACCAACCAACCCUCCUGCCUGUCUUUAACUUGUCAGUGCCUUUAUUGAAGAUAUUAAGUAAUGUCAAAAGGAAGAGCAGAGACAACAUCUUCAUUCUCUUCCUGCAUCAGACACCUUCAAGCAGUCUACUGUGCCACUUUGUGAUUUAACUUUGCAGAGCCAUCCCUAAAUCCUCCAUAGGGAAAGAUUUCCCAUCCCUAAGUGCUCUCUUGCCCCUCACCUCUAUU